GCGCCUGUGGCUCAGCUGGAUAGAGCAUCUGACUACGAAUCAGAGGGUCGGGAGUUCGAAUCUCUCCAGGCGCA
rnacentral:tRNA from 1 species